rnacentral:rRNA from 1 species
CCCUUAGAUGUUCUGGGCGGCCCGCGCACUACAAUGGCGUGUGCAGCGAGUGCCGAAGUAGAGUUUUCCGAGGUAUUCUUGCAAUGCUCGUUUUGAUGGGGAUAGACCCUUGCAACUGUUGGUUUUGAACGAGGAAUUCCUUGUAAGCAUGGUUUAUCAUCCGACGCUGAAUGCGUCCCUGCCCUUUGUACACACCGCCCGUCGCUCCUACCGAUGAGUCGUCCGGUGAAGUUCGUAGACCUCGUGAUCGCGGAUCACUGGGGGAGGCAAAAUGAACCUCGCGGUUUAGAGGAAGGAGAAGUCGUAACA